UGUUUGCAGGUGCGACUGGAAGUGAAGGUCAUCCAGCUUCCCCUGCGAGUUCCAGGAGUGAAACUCCGGCAGACCACACGGGUCCGGAAAGACGAAAGUUUACACCUAGAGGAGGGUAUUACGCCUGGUGGUCAUCCCGUGUCCCAAGGAAACCCACGA